UAUGGUGUAGCUCAGUGGCAGAGCACUUGCCUAGCACGUGUUAGGUACUGGGUUUAAUCCUCAGCACCACAU
rnacentral:tRNA from 1 species